CGUCCUUGGAAGUCUUAACUGUAGAGAAUUGCCUGCAGUUUCCAACCUCUACUUACGACUUCCAUAGCAGGAACCGAGUCACAAUCCUUUCAUCCCUAUGGUAGCAAGUGAACAAUCACAUUCUCAAAUUGCUUCAAGAAGGAGCCUCACCUACAGAUGCAGCAGCUUUGCUUCCAGAAGGUUGACUUGUAGUUGCAGCAGGUUGACUUGCAGCUACUUGACCUACUUCAAGAGUUGGAUUUGGCCGAUUUGCAGCUUUGGGUUGGCUUGUAGCUUCAAGUUGUGCAGGAAAAGCUGGUGAUGUGGCUGUUGAAGAAUCCUCAAGACCAAAAGCAUCUGAUCGAGGUCGAGCUAUUUUCUUCCCUCUAGCCAUCAGCUUCUUCAAGCUGCAAGAUCUUGUUGAACUGAAAUUGAUGACUCGGAAGUUACUGAAUUUGGGAAUCGGUGAUGUUGAUGACUUGAUGUGUUGAAUUGAUGAACAAUGAAUUGGGGAUCUAGGGUUCUAAGCUUGGAAUCGAUCAGAACGAUGUGCAGAAGACAAAGGGAUGGUGAAAUCCAAUGGUCCUGACCAAGAUUAUGUUCAAUUGGCUUUUCACUCUUGGCAAGACGGUUUCUUUUCAGUUGGCUUUCGAUUUGUUUGUAUUCCUUGAAUUCGUAAAUGUAAUUGAUGCACUUAUGUUAAUUACUUUUUUGUGCAUUGUAAUGUUCCUGUUGUUUGUUAAGGCUUGAACUUACAUGUUUAGGUCGGAUGUAUACAUGAUCUUUGAGAUGUACACAGAAGCCAUUUUAUUUGUAAGGUAGUUCUGUUUCUCUGGCUUUUUGACUCGUUUCUAUUUGUUAAGGCUCGGAACUUACGUGGACUGAUCCUUUAGGCUGGAUCUAUACAUGAUCUUUGAGAUGUACACAGAAGCCAUUCUAUUUGUAAGUUAGUUCUGUAUCUCUGGCUUUUUGGCUUGUUUCUGCUUGUUGAAUACCAAAUGCACCUCUUAUCUGUGUGUAGUU